rnacentral:rRNA from 1 species
AACGGACGCUGGCGGCGCGCCUAAUACAUGCAAGUCGAGCGAGAAGACGUAGCAAUACGUUUGUAAAGCGGCGAACGGGUGAGGAAUACAUGGGUAACCUACCCUCGAGUGGGGAAUAACUAGCCGAAAGGUUAGCUAAUACCGCGUACGCUCCUUGGACUUCGGUUCAGGGAGGAAAGCGAUACCGUGGGUAUCGCGCUCUUGGAUGGGCUCAUGUCCUAUCAGCUUGUUGGUGAGGAACGGCUCACCAAGGCUUCGACGGGUAGCUGGUCUGAGAGGACGAUCAGCCACACUGGCACUGCGACACGGGCCAGACUCCUACGGGAGGCAGCAGUAAGGAAUAUUGCGCAAUGGGCGAAAGCCUGACGCAGCGACGCCGCGUGGGGGAUGAAGGUCUUCGGAUUGUAAACCCCUUUCGGGAGGGAAGAUGGAACGAGCAAUCGUUCGGACGGUACCUCCAGAAGCAGCCACGGCUAACUUCGUGCCA